CUGUUCAUACAUUCACCUUCCUUUGCUUGGAUAAGAAAUGCCUAUUAACAUGUCUCAAAUCUAACAUUCUCGGAUUCCAGUUGACUACUUCUAGAUUUCCUAUUUUUCUGCUACUAAAAAAUGACUCACAUGACUUAACGAUAUUGACUUUUCCUCCCUCUCUUCCUUAUUGCUUUAUUCUAUUCAGCAGAAACUCUGCCCAGAGCUAAAAGGAACAAGGAGAGCACAUGACCCUGAACUUUAAACAAUCUACAGGUUUAUGUCUUUAACCAGUGAUGCUAUGUUUUGGGUUUUGUGUUAGUCACCGGGGAGGAAUAUGAGAGAGUCAUGGGCCAUCUUAAUCAAGAGAACGAGCAGUCUACGUGUAUUCACAAGAACCACCACAAAACUAUCAACUAAAUUAAAGGAAAUCAGACUUUCAGGAGUCAGCCUGAGGGUGGACUCAGUCGCACAGCAGAUUCACUCUGAUCACAAGAAUCAGUGGCAGAGAUAUGGACAAGAAUGACGCAGACAUUCCUGUGUAGCUCCUCAUUGCUAUCGGAAGGUGAAAUGGCU